GUUUCACCGUGUUAGCCAGGAUGGUCUCGAUCUCCUGACCUCGUGAUCUGCCUGCCUCGGCCUCCCAAAGUGCUGGGAUUACAGGUGUGAGCCACCGCGCCCGGCCAGCAUCUGCUCUUUUCUGUGUGGCUUCCUUCACUUAGCUAUGCCGCUGAAACUAAUUCAUGUUGUUGCAGCCAUCAGGAGUUCAUUCUUUUUCGUUGCUGUGUGCUAUGGACUGAAUAUUUGUGUUCCUCUCUAAUUCAUGUCUUGAAGCCUAAAUCCUCAUGUGAUAGUAUCAGGAGGUCAUGAGAACAGAGCCUUUAUGAAUGGGAUUAGUGCACUUACAAGGGGAUGAAGAGACCAGAGCUCUCUCUCUCUUUGCCAUGUGAGGAUACAAGAAGAUGGCCACCUCCAAACCAGGUGAGAAGCCCUCCUCAGACAUGAAUCUGCUGGCACCUUGAUCUUGGACUUCCCAGCCUCCAGAACUGAGAAAUAAAUAUUUGUUAUAUAAUCUGUCCAGCCUAUGAUAUUCUGCUAUAGCAGCCUGAACUGACGUAGAUACUGUGUCAUACUCCAUUGCACGGGAGAUGUAUCCUUUCUCUUGUUGAUACACAUUUGGAUUGUUUCCAGUUUGGGGGUAUUUUAAAGCUGCUAGGAAAUUCUUGUUCUCAUUUCUAAUUUUUAGCAAGUAAUAUUAACUUGAAUUUGUUUCAUCAGACCUUUAAAAUGCAGGUUUGAACAUUUAGGAAUAUUGUACAGGGAAUGGAUCCACGAGACAUCUGCUUGUUUUUGAUGCAGUGUGAAGAAUGCAUGAUCAUUGCAUUCACAUUGAGUUGAGCUGGAUGGUUGUAAAGAUAUGCUUGGCCACUACUGAAUUACCUAAAAAUUAAUUCGUACCAGGCAGGAGCAACUGUGGCAUUGCCAAGUCUCAUUCCCAGCCCUCAUGUCCUAGAAGAUGAAUGGGAUGGAGCCAGAAGUGAUGUGUAACAUGGGAUGGAAGCAGAAGAUAGAUUCCACUGCUAAAAACUGCAUGGAUUAUGGGAAGUUGGGGAUGAGAGAGGGGAAGGAGUAGCAUCUUGUUCCGUCGGCCUCCUUGAUCUAAGCCUUUGUUGUGAAUUCGUUUUUACCACAUUUAAAGUGUGAUGCCCAGAAUGGAACUCGGGGCUGCUGGCACCCCCAUCCAUCUUUGGAGGCCCUGGACAUAAUCGAUGGGGCAGGCAGAAGACCUGCAGCUCCAAGCCUGCUAGUCGGUGAGCCUGGAAUUGCUAUGCUCUUAGGAUCAUGUGUUCCCACUGUGAAUGCUUUUGGCGGCUUUUCCCACUGGCCACUUGGUCAUAUCCAUACCCAGACUGAACCAGCUCUGACCCCAGGCCCUCCCCACCAUGCCCAUCCUACCAGGGUGCCCCCGGCUGAGGCUGCCUCUUGAGGCCACACCCUCCACCUGUAUAACCCCAGCUUUGGAGCCUGCGGAUCCUGCCUGAGCUGCUCUCACCCUUUGGAAACCAAGGAUUGAGCAUUGUUCCCUGAGUGUAUUUCUGGUUAUGACUUUCUCUUUUCUCCACAGAAAGGCAUCUCUCUGCAGGUAUUGGGUUUUCUCUGAGCUCAGCUGCUGCUCUUGGCCUUCUUUCUCCAGUUUCUGUCCUCCUCUACCAGCCUUGAGACUGCAGUGUGGAGAUAUGUCGCCUCUGUUUUGUCUGGGCUGCUUCUGUCUGGGAUGAUGGAAUCCUCACUAAAUGGGAAAUGUUUAUGGAGGAGGAGGGAGAUGGGGAAGUCAUUCCCUCCUGUUAACAUUUCGGCUUAAGUUAGCUUAUUCAUAUGAAUGACACAAAGUCGUAAUUGCUCCUAAUCAAAUCUGUGCACACAGUAAAGCCUCUUUUAUGCAAUGAGUGUUUACUUAAUUGAAUGUUACAUAUAAAUGAAGGUUACUCCUUCAAGUGACAAACGUGAGGGAUUUCAAUGGAAAAUUCUGAAAAUGAGCCCCUGAAGGAGGGAAGAUGGGAGAUGAAAGAUGCUGGAAGAGAACAGAAUGGGGCCAAGACGCUCCAGGAGAGCACCGGGGGAAUCCCAGUUGCUCUUGGGUUUCACUUCCAAGGGCAAAACGAUGAUGACAAAUUGCUUUCUGAGAAUCCAUCCCUCUUGCAGGGACUUUCAGCCAGAGACUUGUCCAUAAUGGGCUCUGCAUCAUGUCAGAGCCCUAAACCAUAAUUAAACACCAUUGCAUUUAUUAGAGUCCUCAUGAUGUUACCUUAGAUUCUUCCCCACAAGGGCAAACCCCCUAGUGUUGAUGUCAAUGUUCUAUGGGAUUCUCCUGGUGUUAGAUGAUUACAGUAUCACGGAAACGUGAGGCUGCAUCUGCUAAGUAACGUUUCACUCCUGUGUAUCACAGAGGUUCUUCUCUAAGCCCCACCCACAGGAGAGCCAGACCUCUGCAUCACAGAUCACAUGGAGAAACUGAAACAAAUGCUGACUCUCGGGAGGUGAUGAUAGGACUCGUUUCCUUAUCAUUUUUUCAGAGCCCCAGAAGUUUACAAUGAUAAAAACAAGAGCAUUUCAUGAAACAGCAUGCAAAAGCCCAUGCAUGCUGUCUAUUUUUAUAUAAAUCAGCAGAAGAUAAAGAGCUUGUCUUGAUUCAUGCUGUUCCUCCAGGGAAUGUUUUGCAAAAAGGCAAAAAAAAAAAAAAAUCAGGGAGAAGAGCGAAGCCUAUAAAUACAAUUGGAAAGGAAAAUAAAAACAACUCACUAAACGUUGAGUUUGACGAAAACAUAACAAAACCAAGGAACAUUUUUAUGUUUUUUUCCUUUCAGUUUUACUUUUGAUCAUGUUUCUUCCUGAGGUUUUAUGAAUAUAUACAUCAAGUGGGAGAGAUAAAAACCCCAAAUAACUGUAGAAUGAUGAGAAUGUAGGAAAGAGAAUGUAGGCCCUUUUAUUCCAUGUUAUUUUUCUCAGAAAAAUGACAGUUCAACCUUUCCCCUUCUGAUUGUCACUGGAAAGCAGUUUUCAUCUGAAAUGAAAUGAGUGAGGAUCAUGAGUUUGCCUGUAUGUCUUAUAUGAAGCCAGCGCUGUAGUGUCCUCACUUACAAACCCGUGUUUCAAGUUUACCCCUCAAUUCCUGAAAGUCUGAAAUUUUAGAGGGACAAAGGAAAAUUAAGAAUUAAGCUAAAAAGAGUUAAAUUGUGGUUAACAAACAUUUCUGUAAAAGGGGCGGAAAGUAAAUAUUUUCUGCACCGUGGGCCACAAUUCAACCCAGCUCUGCCAUCGUAGCCCAAAAGCAGCAAGAGACGAGAUGCAAGCAGAGGGGGCAGCUGUGUUCUAAUACACUUCAUGCAUAUGCACAUGUCAAUUUCACAUAAUUUUCACAUGUCACAAAAUGUUAACAUUCUUUUGAUUUUUUUUUUCAACCAUUUAACAGUGUAAGAAUGAUUCUUAGCUCAUGGGUUCUAUAAAAACAGGUGACAGCUGGAUUUGACCCAUGGGCCAUACUUUACUGACCUUUGUACUAAAUCAUGCUCUCGACCCAAUUUACCUUUAAAGUUGUUCUGAUGAACAUAUUUCAACAUUCAAAAAUGGUAUGUGGAUUCAUCUGUUUUACUGAAUACUUUUACUUUUGAUUACUGAUCUCUGUCUUGGUUAAAGAUGCCAAAAACUUAGGCAUGACUCAUCAGGUGUUCUACCGUGACCUUGGCUCCCAGGCCAGGGAGGAUGGCAUAAAUAGGGUCAGAUGGCAUGUUGUCGUGGAAACCAUAAUGAUAGCAGCUACUAAUGAAGCAGAACUGACUGUGUGUCUGGAACUGUUUGAAGGGCUUUAGAACACUAGCCCAGCUAGUCAACACGAUGAACCUAGGAGAAAGGUGCUAACAUUCUCAUUGUGGACAUAGAGAAACUGAGGCACAGGAGGCUGACUGACCUACUCAAGAUGAUGUACAGUCCAAGUGAGAGCAUCUGCUCCCACACUCGGUUGGGCCAAUCCAGGCACCACACUGACUCAUUCCACUACAGAAAGGAGAGUUCUCCCCUGCCAACGACUCAUCCUGAGAGAGCAGAGCAAUGAAGUGAAACUGGGAUGAAAAUCAUGAGCAAUGAAAUGAAAUGAAACUUGUAGAGCUGCUUAAUUUAAGAGUAAACAAAUUCUGCCUUAAAUGCCAAGGCUCCUGGCAAGUGACAGAAACCCAACAUUGACUAACUGAAGCUCGCCUAAGUGGGACGACCAAGCCAUCUCACCUUCACAAGUUGAAUGCCCUCAUGGACCACUGAGUGAAUCCAGCGUAUCACCCUAGUCUACACUUUGGCCAUUCUCUUCAAAAUAAGGAGCCUGAUGUUUCACAAAACCAUCUGUUGCCCUCUUCUGUUAUUACAGCUGAAUGCUUCAGAAAUCAUUCUGCACCACUAAAAAUAAAAUCCACGUAGAACCUGAAAGAACCAAUGCCAAUUACUGGAGCCAAAUUCAGGUUGUAUUUUUAAAAGUGUCUAUGAAACCAUCUAUAAAUAGAAAGCCUUUCCUGUUAUUUUUAAUUACUUCAUUUUAAUGGAAACAGACUCCAGUUGGUGAGGAUGUGGUUAGGAUGCCAUGGCACAGGGCCUGCCCUUCCGGACAGAAGGCUGACUCCAGCCAAAGGAAGCCAGGGGGUGGCUCAAAGCAGUCAAAGCAUCUUCAGUGCUUACUCUUGGUUGUUGAUCCCAAAGCCUCCUUAGAAACCUCCUAGCGUGUCUCAAACCCUUUCAAACAUGUGUAUAUUUCUAUAAGUCCAAUGACAAGUUGAUUUUCUUAUAUUUAAGGUAAAUGUGGACCACAGAGAGUUUCUCUGUGAGCUGGAAGAGGAAACAUUCCUGAGUCAAAUGCUAGGGCAGUGCCACAGCUCCAGGGUCUGCUGGCAGAGGGGUGUGUCUCAGACAGGCAUCUCUGAGAGGCAGUGUGCCAGUCCAGUCCCCCAGAGCCAGGGAGCCUCCCACCCCAUGCCGCCUCACAGGGCAGGAAGAGGGCACAUUACUGCCUCACACUGGCUUAGGGAGGACAGGGAACAAGGAGACAGCCCAGGGGACUCUGGCAGUGGCCCUCAUCCCCAGACCUGGAUGGGAACCUAAGAGUCUGGGCAAGUCCUAGCUGGUGGCUCUGGUCUGCCUGUGUGCCACCAUGUGCCACCAUGAGCCACAGGAAAUAAGCAGCACAUCAGAUGGGAAGAGUGAGGCCCUAAGAAAUCUAUUCUGCUUCUUGUGGCAAAAGCUGAGCCUUCAUGCCCCCGGCCUCAAACAGCUCCAUCUCCUGCUGCAAAAGUGUGCCCCGGAGCUACAGCCUGACUGGCCAGGCAGAUAUUAGAGUUCCUUGUCUCAGAUUUCCUGUCUGGGUCACUAACCUGAAGGCCAUGACAGACCAGGUAAUACUCAUCCACCAGUAUGAGGGUGUCACUCUGCCAGUUACCUACUGUAUGGCCUUGGGUGUGUUCCUUAGCC
rnacentral:lncRNA from 10 species